CUCAUAUUCAUAUAUAUUCGAGUGUUCCAUUUUGUUAGUGUUUUUAUUAUGUUUCACAUGCACGGAAAAAUGGUAUCAAAAAGAGCAUUUUAUCUUGAAUUCGAAAAUAUUCAGCACAAAAAACGCGUUGGAUUUCAAUUUCAAAUGUAUACAUUGGCAGAUGGAUGUAGUUUAAAGGAUUUGAAUGAUAUACUGAUGGGCCAAUACCAGCAAUCCCCCCCCCAAACUGAAUCUCUUAAAUUGAGAUGAAUAUUACGCAGUUCUUGGUAGGAUGUGGUCCUGAGAUAACCGCCAGUUACCAGAAUAUCAGAUAGACCAAUAUGAGCACAUGUCCAGUACUAAAUCCCUGAUCAGGAGGUCACCAUGAGGCACUUCCUGGCAGGAUAUGGUCCGUUGCUGCAUGGCAAUUACUAAAACAACAGCUUAAAUUGUCAUUUGAUGUUGACGAUGAUAAUAUGUAUAUAUUUUCUCAGAACGGACAAACGCAUUUAUAUAUUUCUACUGUUAAUACAGAAGACUAAGCUUUGACAUGAUGGCAAUGUAUGUGGGUGUGAAUAUCUUAUUUUGAAUUGCCAUAGGCAGGGCUUCUACGUGGAUGAACAUCUUGAAAUUACUUUUUAUGACAUAAAUGUUCUUAGAAAUAAUACAGUUUGAUAAAGUGAUAUCAGAGUUUGAAAUUAGGCUAUUUUGCUGGGAUAUAAAAGUUGAGUGUGGUCACCUUGAUCAAUCGUUCCGGAAUCAUAGUUGUCUCCCUUUAGCUGAUAUUUAUUGAAAUAUCAGAAGAUAUUGGUGACGGUAAGAACUGAAAUUAAUUGGGACUUAAAGACCAACACGCCGGGAUCAUAUAAACUGCCAACUUGUUUUAUUGAAGCAAAAUCUUCACCCCAAAAGAGUUAAUGUUGGGUUUAUAAAUAGAUGAAUGCAUGUUUAUUAUGUUAAUACAGAAGAUGUUUUUGUAAUGUUAAUACAGAAGACUAGCAGUUACACCUGCUCGUGGAUGAAUGUCUGCUUUCUCCAGUUAAAACAAUUGCAAGUUGACAACGUAUUACGGCUCUACUAUUUUUCUCUGGUCCCCACUGGGUUAUAAAUGACAAAUGUUUAACUUGUCGUGGACAAAAAUGUGGUUUAGUUGUGCACAUUUGCUUGGUAGUCUCCCUUUGUACUGAAACUGUGUAUUACUAAAAAGGUAAAUGAUUAAACUUAACCCUGUUAAGCCAUUUAAGACACUGUCUAUGGAAAAAGAAUACAUUAUUAUGCACAGAAACAGCAGGAUCUGCCAAAUAUAACUACUUCGCUUUUGAUUUCAUAAAAAUAUAUCAGAAGCUUUGAUAAAAUGGCAAUGUAUGUGGGUGUGAAUAUCUUAUUUUGAAUUGCCAUAGGCAGGGCUUUUAUGUGGAUGAACAUCUUGAAAUACCAUUGUAUGAAAUAAAUGAUCUUAGAAAAA